rnacentral:tRNA from 2 species
UAAAUCCCUCCUAUACUA